UGGCAGGACUUAUACUUUCAAUGGUGCU
rnacentral:piRNA from 1 species